GUUAGUAGCUCUAGUUGUCACAUAAAAUCUCUAGAAAGUAGGUGUUUGUUUCCUGAAAGAUUUCAGCAUAACUUCUUUGUAUAUAUUCUCCUAUCUUGUCAUUAUCCAUUUUGUCUCCUUAUCUGCCCUUUGUCACAGAAUUUGUAUCUCCAGAUGAACCCUGAGUAGAGAAAAAAGGAGAGAAAGAGCUGCAAUUUUAGAAGAAAACCAAGCCUACACAUGGAACUCUUCCACAGAAGUCUAAGUUGAAGUUGCACUUGAUUCUGAGACUUGGCUUCAAAUCCUGAUCUGCUGUUAUAGAAAAAGGCACCGAAGACCUCUGGAGCCUGUAGUAUUCCACAUGGUAAUGACAUAUUCUACCCAUAUUACAGCUGAGGGUAAAUGCAAGUACGCUGUUUUUUUCUACUACUAAUUCAGCUGCUUGGGCACUUCUCCUCUGGGUGUUACAAACUGGAACAUCAAACAAAAGUAAAAACCAUCCAGCUCUUAUUCCCAUUAAGCCCCUACUGCUGAGGCCAGGUGGAGAUCCCCCAGCUUAGGUUAGUAUAUGACUUCUCUAGUAGGACUAGGUUUAAGGUUUAUG